GAUAAACGCUGGCGGCGUGCAUGAGACAUGCAAGUCGAACGAAUUUCUCGGGCUUGCUCGAGAAGUUAGUGGCGGACGGCUGAGUAACGCGUAGGUGACCUACCCCGAAGUGGGGAAUAACUGCCCGAAAGGGUGGCUAAUACCGCAUGUGAUCGUUCUUUCAUUUGAACGAUCAAAGCAGCAAUGCGCUUUGGGAGGGGCCUGCGUCCGAUUAGCUCGUUGGUGGGGUAAUGGCUCACCAAGGCGACGAUCGGUAGGUGGUCUGAGAGGACGAUCACCCAGACUGGGACUGAGACACGGCCCAGACUCCUACGGGAGGCAGCAGUCGGGAAUUUUGCUCAAUGGACGAAAGUCUGAAGCAGCAACGCCGCGUGAGGGAUGAAGGCCUUCGGGUUGUAAACCUCUUUUAUCAGGGACGAUGAUGACGGUACCUGAUGAAUAAGCCACGGCUAACUACGUGCCAGCAGCCGCGGUAAUAC
rnacentral:rRNA from 1 species